rnacentral:rRNA from 1 species
AUGUUAUAUGUGUCAGUACGAGUACUGCCGGUAAAAGCCGGAGGAAGGUGAGGAUGAUGUCAAGUCAGCAUGACCUUUAUAUCCAGGGCUACACACACGCUACAAUGGUCUGUACAAUGGGUAGCCAAGCCGCGAGGCGGAGCCAACCCUGAAAGCAGGCCUCAGUUCAGAUUGCAGUCUGCAACUCGACUGCAUGAAGCCGGAGUUGCUAGUAACCGCAGGUCAGCAAUACUGCGGUGAAUACGUUCCCGGGUCUU